AUGGCUAUGGCGAUUGAAGCUGACGAAGGUGGUGAUGAUGACCGUGGUGGCGAGUCUAGAGAAGGAAAUGGGAGUAUUCUUGAAACCAUGACAGUAGUUGAGGUUCUUGUAUUCCCGGUGAUGAUUCUUGUGGCUGCUGCCGAGAGAGUUGGGAUGGUGGAGCAGCGUUUUUUGUGGUGGCCUUGGUGGACGAGAACUUCCCACUGA